AAUAAAUCUCCAAGUAUAUAAAUAACCUCAGUUGCAUCAUAUCCUCCUUUCUAUUCUAGCAGCCGAGCAAAUUGGGAAUACCAGUAUGCCUGAACACAACUCAGAACGAAACGUCGCGGUGCAUCCAAGGGCAGAUCUUACUAGGAAUGCUGCUAUGGCCAGAUGGGCAUUCUCGUCAAACCCCACCUCAAAUGGAUCAAUUUUGUGAUUAACUUCUAAAUUUGCUGUUGCGCAAACCUAUCUUUUAAUCAUUGAUUUUUUUUGUGCUUUCAACCAAUAUGGGUAUUGGAUAAUAUUGGCCCAUUGAACUUAACAAUUGGACAUUUAUAUUACUGGGAUAUUGGCCCAUUGGCCAUUUAUAUUCAUGGGAUAUUGGCCCAUUGAUCAAUCAUUUUGCAUUGAUGUGACAUUGUCAAUGGGACAUUAUUGGGCCAUUGUACAUUUCUGUUGUGCGUGGCGUUGUGCAUUUGAGAACUUGCUUCACCCACUUGGGGUCGCCACUUGUAUUGUACAUUGUUGGGGGGCGACCCGGGGCCGCCCAAUAUACUUAUUGUCCAAUGGAAUUCACCGCGACCAAAUACGCCAAACAUAAAUAAAUUUCUCAAGUAAAUAAUUAUGUUGUGUAUACAUUUCUAUUACAUCUGAGAUAAUAAACAAAAGGGACUGGCUGUUCAAAUAAGGGGCAUAGAAAA